GACGAACGCUGGCGGCGUGCCUAAUACAUGCAAGUAGGACGCAGUUGCGAACGGGUGAGUAACGCGUAGGUAACUACCUAUUAGAGGGGGAUAACAAUUGGAAACGAUAGCUAAUACCGCAUACUAGUAGAUGGACCUGCGUUGUAUUAGCGAGUAGGUAGGGUAAUGGCCUACCUGGGCAAAGAUACAUAGCUGACCAGACAGGGUGAUCGGCCAAACUGGUACUGACAUCCGGCCCAGACUCCUCCGGGAGGCAGCAGUAGGGAAUCUUCGGCAAUGGGAGGAACCCUGAUCGAGCAACGCCGCGAGAGUGAGGAAGGUUUUCGGAUCGUAAAGCUCUGUUGUUCAGGAAGCGGUACUUAACCAGAAAGGGACGGCUAACUACGUGCCAGCAGCCGCGGUAAUUC
rnacentral:rRNA from 1 species